CGUCGGGGCAAGAGCCAGGCCUC
rnacentral:siRNA from 1 species